GACGAACGCUGGCGGCGUGCUUAACACAUGCAAGUCGAACGAAGUGGCGAACGGGUGAGUAAUACGUGAGUAACCUGCCCUCCUUUUUGGGAUAAGCCUUGGAAACGGGGUCUAAUACCGAAUAAAGGGGGAUGGGCUCGCGGCCUAUCAGCUGGUUGGUGGGGUGAUGGCCUACCAAGGCGGUGACGGGUAGCCGGCCUGUGAGGGUGAAUGGCCACAUUUGGACGGAGAUACGGCCCAGACUCCUACGAGAGGAAGCAGUGGGGGAUAUUGCACAAUGGGGGAAAGCCUGAUGCAGCGACGCAGCGUGGGGGAUGAGGGAUUUCGGGUUGGAAACCUCUUUCGCAUUCGAACGAGUAGGUGGAGAAGAAGCGACGGCUAACUACGUGCCAGCAGCCGCGGUAAUAC
rnacentral:rRNA from 1 species